CCAGCCCCACGCCCCUCCCUCAUCCGCCGCCACUCCCUCCCUCCUCCUCCUCCUCCUCCUUCUACGCCGUAGGAGCCUCGCCGCCGCCGGCUACUCCUCCACCGCCUCGCCUCUUCCUCCUCCCUGCCUUCCCAUCGCUCGCGUGCAGGCCAUCGUGGCCACGCGCUUCACGGGCGAACCUGAUUUCCAACGCCUGCUCCGGGUUUGCGCAGGACGGGCUCCCCUGCAUCCUCCUCCUCGCGGCCGAGGACGACACCUUCGGAGUGAGCUGCGGCGCACGAUUCGAUCUGCGGGAGAGAGAGAAGAUGAGAGGGAGAAGAUGGAAGGAGAGGAGGGAGAAAGAGAGAGAGAGAGGAAAGAGGAGAAGGAGGCGCCGUCGUCCCCUCCACCCAGCCAGCCGUCGCCGCACCUCCUCCACCCGGCCAGCCGCCGCCACUCGCGCCCGUCUCCUCCGGCCAGCCUCCGCCCGCAACCUCCCCCCUCCCGUUUUCAGAAGGGAAGGGAAGGUAAGAGACGAGGGAGAGCGAGCGGGUCAGGCGACGGGAAGGGAAGAGGAGAGGAGAGGAAGCCUUGCCGCUGGUCUAGGAGGAGCUCAUCUGCCUGCUUUGAGAUGAAGAGGUGAUAGUUGGAGGAGGGAAUAUGACGUUGGCAGAAGAAGAAGGUUUUCACUGGAAGAAAGAUAACUAAGAUCCCUUCUUUUGACAUGUGCAUCAAGAAUGAACAAAAAGAAGCCAUGUUGUUACUAGGAAUACUGCCACACUGCUACGGUCUUGAAUUUGUGGAAGGCAGCAAUGUGCUUGGUCUGGAGUUGGUGUCGCCAUGUGCUAGCAGCCCAUCACUUGAUCUUGAGAUGGUCCCCUGCAUCGCGGAUGCCACAAAUAAGGAAGGCAGACAUCAUUGACGUGCGUGGUAAGAGCUCCAUCUCCCCCACCCAUAGCCCCCAACUUCUGUUUUGGAAGCAUGUCUUCAUCACCAUCUGCGCCAGUAUCUUGCUUUCGCCUUUCUCCUGUCUUGUGCUCCACCAUUUGUCUCCCCAUCCAGACACACAAUAAACCAGCAUAUCUAAGAGGUCGGUGAGCUGAAGUUUUCCAUGCAGAGUAACUGUGAGAAACAGAAAUUGCUUGAGGCUACUGUGAGAUCUGAAAUCUACCAGUCGGAACUGGCGAACCUAAAAAGAACUUUGACCCUCAUUGGCUUUUUGUGUGGGUUUGCAUCUGUUAUGAUGUGUCUUUAUCAAGUUGCUCCUCCAUACCCCGAGACGCUUGAUGGUGCUGAAUCGUCCCAUCCACAGCAACCAUGUUGACAAGCUGGCAUCUUUGUUCUAUUCUAUUGACUUCAUGUGGCAUUAUGUAUGAAGCCCUUUAAGCACAAACCUCGCAAGGACCGUCAUGGGAUUUGGAGUGCUCAAUGGCAUCUUAAUUGGACUUCUCAAUCAGAGUCUAGGUUUCAACUCUGUUGAGUUCUAUCAGAGCAAGUCGAGCGCAUUAGUUGGAUCCAGCUUCUUGAUAUUGCAGAGGGACUCGUCAAAAGGACGGCGCCUCCCUGCGUUCUCGAUCUGACGCCGCCACAUAUCGUGAUUCUGGAUUGGGCGCAGGUCGUCGCCAUAAGAGAGCCUGGCUGGUGUGGUCUUCAUGCUUGGUGUGGAGAAGCAGGGGAGGAUGAGUAGGAUGGGCAUGGGGAAGGAGCAGCCAGGACGGAGCUCUGGCGUUGCUCGCGUCAUGGUCAAAUGGAGCCGGCCCUCGCUAUGGGCUGCUGAUCGCCGUCGUCGUUCCCCAAUCUCAGUUGCUCAUCUUUGGCUCACCAUCUUCCUCCCCUGAUCAUGCAUCUAUUUUAGAUCAUUUAAUUAUGCUAUAUCAUAUAUGUUGUUUAGUUCAGACUUGUGCAUGUGCAUGCAUUGGCAUUGAUUUAGACAGAGAUAUUGCAUGAUUUGUACAUAAAAGGAGUACGGAUGGUCUAAGAAUAAAUGUUCGAAUAUAGUAGUGAGAUUUGGGUA